AACGAACGCUGGCGGCAUGCCUAACACAUGCAAGUCGAACGAGACCUUCGGGUCUAGUGGCGCACGGGUGCGUAACGCGUGGGAACCUGCCCUUAGGUUCGGAAUAACUCCCCGAAAGGGGUGCUAAUACCGUAUAAUGUCUUCGGACCAAAGAUUUAUCGCCUUUGGAUGGGCCCGCGUUGGAUUAGCUAGUUGGUAGGGUAAAAGCCUACCAAGGCGACGAUCCAUAGCUGGUCUGAGAGGAUGAUCAGCCACACUGGGACUGAGACACGGCCCAGACUCCUACGGGAGGAAGCAGUGGGGAAUAUUGGACAAUGGGCGAAAGCCUGAUCCAGCAAUGCCGCGUGAGUGAUGAAGGCCUUAGGGUUGUAAAGCUCUUUUACACGGGAUGAUAAUGACAGUACCGGGAGAAUAAGCUCCGGCUAACUCCGUG
rnacentral:rRNA from 1 species